UACGGGGGGGGCAAGCGUUGUUCGGAAUUACUGGGCGUAAAGGGUGCGUAGGCGGUUUGUCGCGUCUGCUGUGAAAACUCGAGGCUCAACCUUGGGCUUGCAGUGGGUACGGGCAGACUAGAGUGCGGUAGGGGAGACUGGAAUUCCGUGGUGUAGCGGUGGAAUGCGCAGAUAUCAGGAGGAACACCGAUGGCGAAGGCAGGUCUCUGGGCCGCAACUGACGCUGAGGAGCGAAAGCAUGGGGAGCGAACAGG
rnacentral:rRNA from 1 species